UCGGCUCACUGCAACCCCCACCUCCCGGGUUGAAGCAAUUCUCCUGCUUCAGCCUCUCAAGUAGCUGAGAUUACAGUACACUUUGUACUUUAAUAUGCAAACUGCCUGCCUGCUCCAGAGAAGCAGCCUUUGUUCCUCAGUUCAUCGCAACACUCAGCCUGUCAGUCAGGUUGUGGGAUCCCUCCUAUCCAGGAACUGUAUGCUGUUGUCCCGGUUCUGACACUUUCCCUCUGAGUCCUUGGACACCUUACCUAACCUCUUGGAAGCUCCUGUCUGUGAAGGGUGUGCACAGAGAGCUUCGGUAGCCUGCGAAGCAGCCAUUUUCACUUCCACGGAGCAGAUGCUGGCCUGGGUGCUGGAAUAUGGAAAUGAGGAAGAUCCUGCCUGAGGAUUUCAUGACAGUGCUGCGAUUACCGACGUGAGCCACUGUGCCCAGCCUCACUUUAAAAAAAAAAAAAGGUUAUGAAGCAUCUCAACACAAGACCUCCUUUGCUCAUCACAACCACCCAGUGAAGCAGGCAAGACAACAGAAACUCCCCACCUGUGAUAGAUGUGAGGCCUGAAGUCUCCCACAUACCCACGGCAGAUGCAACGCACAGCGGUGACCAAUGGACAUGGUCCAAGCAGACCCUUUCCUGAGACUUUCUAAAUGGAGCUGUGUGAGAAGAGUUCCUUUCUGUUUUGCCUCUGGAGCUGAAGGUUGAGAACUCAGAGCUGCCCGUGUUCUACCCUGUGAAAAUAAAGGCAAUCAAUUCACAGAGACAAGCAGAAACAAGGCGUCCAGAGCAAGUCCUUCACAUCACCCUGGACACCCUGGCCCUGAUUUCCACUCCCUGCCAGGCUUGUUUGUCCAAUUCUUCUUUUUGUUCCAAGCACCAUCCCAGCAGGCUUAGUUACCUGUAAGCAUUUGGUUAAUCUCUCUUCUCAGCUAGACCGUAGGCUCCCCGAGUGCAGAAACUAUGUUUAUUUUGGUCUCUGCUGGAUCUCCAGCACCUAAAUAAAUGUUUAUGGUUGACUGCAAGGCAGAUCUGUGUGGGGAAUGAAGAAGAGUAUUAAGACCUCCCAGAUGGGCUGCUGGAGGCCUGUCCAAGGUGGAACUUUGCAUGGUGAGAAAUGCAAUUCAGUAGGAAAACAAAGAACUCCUUCAUCCUCCUCUAGAUUCUGCAGGCAAGUGAUCAGCUCAAGGUGAAGGAUCUAAAACCUGAAAAGAGGCCAAAUGAUUCCUCAAAACCACGCAAGUACGAAGUAGCAGAGCGGAUCUCAAAUCCAGAGCACUGCGUGUUUUGAAAUAUACAAAUAGUGGGAAACGAAAUCUUUGUUCUGGAUGCAGUUAUAAUUUGGAAAGCGAGGAAAUAAAUUAUAACAAGGGGAAAAAACAGACACAGAGGGAUUGAAAUGCAUAACAAUAGAGAUGAAACACGAAGAGUGAUAAAUGAAGAUUGAGUGUGCACACCUUCUGGAGGAGCCCUGAUUGAGUAUUUUAACACAGAAGUGGGUGAGAGCAAAGUUGUGUCAGAGUAAGACAAUGACACCAAGCCAGAUGGUUAUCAAAAUCCACAGGAACAAAUGAAGAGAACCAGAAAUUGCAAAUAAGAAGGACAGAGUACCAGAGAGGAGAGAGAGGUACAGAGAAUUAUGGAGGUGGCUUCCGUUGAGUAUGCAGCUAAGUAAUGAUUAAUGCAUACAUAUAAGAAACUACUGGAUGACAGAGAAAGAACCACAAGCAAUUUAAAGAAUACUACUAAAGUCAUGCCGUGUGACUUCUGAAGCUAGCUCCUAAGAAGUCCUUGCAGCUUCUGCCUGCGACUCUUAGAACACUUGCUUUGAAGGAUGCCAGAUGCUGUCUUAAAAGUCUGAGCACUCUGAAACCAUCAUGCUGUGAGGAAGCCCAAGCUAACCACAUGGGCAAAAAAGAUGCCCUCUGACUGCCACCAUUUGAGACACUCUAAUUAAGAACUGCCUCAUUGAGCCCAUGAGGCCCUGUGAAUGAUAAUAAUAAAUUGUUUUUAACCACUAUGUUUUUGGAUUUGUUAUAAGUUUAUAGAUAACAAGAAAAAGUUAUAUUAGCAUGGUAAUAAAAUUAUGGAUAUGUGUAAGUUUGGUGUUUUGUUUCUUUUUUUUUUUUACACUAAGCCUAUAUUACUGUUGUAAUUUAGGAAAUCACUUGUUUUCCUCCAGCACUUCAAUGUAAGAGUGGCACUACUUAGAAUGUACUUCUUAAGAUAUGGCU
rnacentral:lncRNA from 1 species